UUCUUGGCUUCAGAUGUCAAAAACACAGCAAAAAAAUUUUUUUCCCCCAUACUCUAACAUGACAUCUUACACUUCAAAAGAGAAGCUUCCUCAUCCGGUAAUUAUUUCUCUCAAACAAUACAGUUGUAAAAUGCAAGUAUAAAAACUUAGCCCUGAAAAAUGGGCAAAAGAAGCAGUUAACAUUCUAUAAUCAAAACUGACAAGAAUACAAACUCAAAUUUUUGUAAGGUAAUCCAUGGUAUUCCAAGAAUACCAAGCUGCUAUUUAAUUUAUGAACCAACAAAAAAUGUAAGUUGAAGCAGCAAACCAGACUGCUCAGUCCACAAGCAAAUUCACUUGCUCUCGACGUCAUAUAAAUCUGUUACCAAGUAAAAGCCAUGGGCAAAAGCACCGGCCAGCACAGCACUGAACAGACGGUCCCUUAAAACUGGAUUUCUACGCAGCGAGAUUCGGAUGAGAGGAAGAAUUGGAGCAUAGACGAGGGGAACCAAGAACUUGAAUGGAGGUCCAUUGCUUUGCUUUUUAAUAGCAGCCUCCCGGAUAGAGGGAUCCAACGAUGGGGCCAUAGGGGGCUCGGAAGACACAGGAUCUUGGGUGUUGCGUUGGGCGAGUCUCGUGCUUGAGGUCAGGGAUGGUUGGCAAUUCUGUGCAAUUGUGUUGUAC
rnacentral:misc_RNA from 1 species